UACGUAGGGUGCGAGCGUUGUCCGGAAUUAUUGGGCGUAAAGAGCUCGUAGGCGGUCUGUCGCGUCGGUCGUGAAAACUUGGGGCUUAACCCUGAGCUUGCGGUCGAUACGGGCGUGACUGGAGUUCGGCAGGGGAGACUGGAAUUCCUGGUGUAGCGGUGAAAUGCGCAGAUAUCAGGGGGAACACCGGUGGUGAAGGCGGGUCUCUGGGCCGAUACUGACGCUGAGGAGCGAAAGCGUGGGGAGCGAACAGG
rnacentral:rRNA from 1 species